GCCGGGAUAGCUCANUUGGUAGAGCAGAGGACUGAAAAUCCUCRUG
rnacentral:tRNA from 1 species